UGAGGAAUAUUGGUCAAUGGGCGCAAGCCUGAACCAGCCAUCCCGCGUGAAGGAAGAAGGCCCUAUGGGUUGUAAACUUCUUUUCCAGGGGGAGAAUUUUUCCGUCGUGACGGGAAUUGUCGGUACUCUGGGAAUAAGCAUCGGCUAACUCCGUGCCAGCAGCCGCGGUAAUACGGAGGAUGCGAGCGUUAUCCGGAUUUAUUGGGUUUAAAGGGUGCGUAGGCGGAUUGAUAAGUCAGUGGUGAAAGGCUGCAGCUUAACUGUAGACUUGCCGUUGGUACUGUCAGUCUUGAGUAUGGUCAAGGCAGGCGGAAUGUGUAAUGUAGCGGUGAAAUGCUUAGAUAUUACACAGAACACCGAUUGCGAAGGCAGCUUGCUGGGCCAUUACUGACGCUGAUGCACGAAAGCGUGGGGAUCGAACAG
rnacentral:rRNA from 1 species